rnacentral:rRNA from 1 species
CCUACGGGUGGCAGCAGUGGGGAAUAUUGGACAAUGGGGGGAAUCCUGAUCCAGCCAUGCCGCGUGUGUGAAGAAGGCCCUCGGGUUGUAAAGCACUUUCAGUGAGGAAGAACGCCUGGUGGUUAAUACCCAUCAGGAAAGACAUCACUCACAGAAGAAGCACCGGCUAACUCCGUGCCAGCAGCCGCGGUAAUACGGAGGGUGCGAGCGUUAAUCGGAAUUACUGGGCGUAAAGCGCGCGUAGGUGGCUUGAUAAGCCGGUUGUGAAAGCCCCGGGCUCAACCUGGGAACGGCAUCCGGAACUGUCAAGCUAGAGUGCAGGAGAGGAAGGUAGAAUUCCCGGUGUAGCGGUGAAAUGCGUAGAGAUCGGGAGGAAUACCAGUGGCGAAGGCGGCCUUCUGGACUGACACUGACACUGAGGUGCGAAAGCGUGGGUAGCAAACAGGAUUAGAUACCCUAGUAGUC